GAACGAACGCUGGCGGCAUGCCUCAUACAUGCAAGUCGAACGAGAAGAUACCUUCGGGUAUUGGACAGUGGCGAACGGGUGCGUAACGCGUGGGAACUUACCGUAUAGUGGGGGACAACAGUUGGAAACGACUGCUAAUACCGCAUACGCCCUUCGGGGGAAAGCUUUAGUGCUAUACGAUAGGCCCGCGUUAGAUUAGCUAGUUGGUAAGGUAAAGGCUUACCAAGGCGACGAUCUAUAGCUGGUUUGAGAGGAUGAUCAGCCACACUGGGACUGAGACACGGCCCAGACUCCUGCGGGAGGCAGCAGUAGGGAAUAUUGGACAAUGGGGGCAACCCUGAUCCAGCAAUGCCGCGUGUGUGAAGAAGGCCUUAGGGUUGUAAAACACUUUCAACUGUGAAGAUGAUGACAGUAGCAGUAGAAGAAGCUCCGGCUAACUCCGUGCCAGCAGCCGCGGUAAUACGGAGGGAGCUAGCGUUGUUCGGAAUUACUGGGCGUAA
rnacentral:rRNA from 1 species